CCCAGGUCCCUGGCCUCCUUGAGGCUGCGCCACCUCACUGCCUGGCACCUGAAGCAGCAGCUCAUGAAAGGGACAGCCAUGUGCUGAGCAGGGACACCUCAGAGGAGCUACUGAAGCAUCAGGCCUGGACCAAGCUGUCACCAGUGCCAACCACAAGCUGGCAGCCUGUGGGCAGGCCAUGGACCUCGCUCCUGACCCGCAGCCUGAGGGAAUCCCCCCAGCAGGGCCACAGCAGCACCAGCAGCAGGCAAGAUGUUGCAGAGUUGAGAAGCCAGGCCUUGGACUCGUCUGAGCCCCGGCAGCUGUCCCGGCCCUUUGACUGCAGUCCUGGACACCCCAAGCCAUGGUUGUCCUUCUGUCAGUGGGCACUGACCUUGCUGGCUUGGUCAGUGGGCGGGGAGAUUAAACCUCAGGACACUUGCGUGCUGUCUGCUUCCUAACUGGGACUGUUGAGGGAGCCUGGGGUGUGGGUAGCGAUGUCAUUGUGGAGGGUGAGGCCAGAGAACUCCAGGCCCCUGUCCUGGGUCACAGCCUGAGGGCUGCGCAUGAUGCAGGCCAGGCCUGUCUGACCUGAGACCAGGAGCAGCAGAAAGGAGGGCCUGCUCCAAAACUGCCCAGGGUGUCCCUUCCUCAGCCCGACACGGCUCUGCCGUGGGGCACACUGCACAACAGGGGCAGACCCGUGAACAAACAGGAGGUCACUUCUCCACAGAGGCCUUGUGGUACCCAGCACCCAGCUGUCGAGUCACCCCCGGUAGACCCCGUUCCUGCAGGCAGCCCCGUAUAUGAUUUUCUUUAAGAAUGGUUUAAAAAUGAAAAAAUGUUAACAAAUUUGGCAGUUACUUUGGAUUUAUCAUCUGUCAUAACUGGCUGCUGCUUGUCAUCCACACAACACCAGGACUUAAGACAAAUGGAACUGAUACUAUCUUGAGCACAUUUAUUUUGGCCGUGAUUUACUUGGAGUGGAGGCAUUGUUUUUUAAGAAAACAUGUCAUGUAGGUUGUCUAAAAAUAAAGUGCAUUUAAACUCACUUGAGAGACGUUCUCUUAGUUUAAUACACGUUUAAACUAAAUCCAACCUGUAGUGUUCCUGGAGAAGCUAGAGCCUGAUUGUAGGCCACCAUUAGAAAGCUGACUGUCUUCAGAAAAUUGUUGCAGUGAAAACUACUGCUGCAACUGGAAUAUAAAAAAAAACAAGAAUCAAAGUUUUAAUUCUGACUUGUAAUAAAGGGAAAGACAUGCUCAUAGCAGUGCCAACAUUUGAAGUGUGGAACCCUACACACUGCAUCACCUACAACGGAAGUAGUUAACCCUGGAAGAGAUUACCAAAAGAAUAAAAAGAGACUAACUCAGUUGGAAAAAAA